CAGCCACCCACCCCAUCCCACCUCCUUGGGAACCCUUGGUCCUGCAGCACCUCCCUAUGGGGUCCCUGAGGAGAAGCUGAUCUGCAAUAUUGGCCAAUGCUCUCUCUGUGAAACUUCAAACUUCAAAUGAGGCCCACCUUACAUGGGUCACCAUGUGCAUGGAAAGAAUGUAUUUACACUCAGAAGAAAGCAUGAAGAAAGAACCUCCAUAUCUAUACCAUCCCUUCCUACCCAACUUUGAGCAUGGUUGUGCGAGGAUGUGAUGCCAGAAGAUGCCACAGUCACAGUCAUAUUUCAACCAUAUAGGAAGACUGAGAAAUUUGCAGCGAUCCCAAACAAGAGCUCUGACAUUGGC